AUGUUGAUGGUGGAGAAGUCACGACAGCAGUGGUUUUGUGGUACUUGAAUCUUCGUCUCAAUCAUUCCCUACGCCAUCUAAUGUUUUACAGAGAUGUUGAAAUAAGAUGCAAAUAGUGGAAAAGUGUCGUCUGAUGUACCUGCUGCACUCAAAGAAUUGAAUGAAUAUGUUGAUGAUUUUACCUUAGCAGAUUCCUCAGGUUAUUUU
rnacentral:lncRNA from 1 species